UAUUGAUUUGACAUUUAUUUAUAGCUUGUUCAUUGUUGAAUAAAGCAGCAUAUACGAGGAUUAUUUUAUUUCUUGUAUUUGCGUUUAGAAUAUAAUCAACGUGAACGAAAAUAACUCAAACAUUGUUGACUCUAAUUAUAUUUCUCGUUAUUAUUCAAGGAUUAAAUCAAUUAUACACUUUUCUUAUUGUCAUUUGAAUAAAAAAAUUAAUCUCGAUAAGAUUGGUUCGAUAGCAAUCAAUGUUAAAGACAAUGAAUUAUAACAUUCGUGACAGAAGAAGAAUCAAACCAAAAAAAUUGACAUAACAACCAUUAUAACUUCGAAAAAUUUCGAUACACUUCAAAAAGCUAUAAAUAAACAGUUAUUUAAAAUUACUAAAUGCUAUAAGUUAUAAAAGGAAUCGGUAUACAGAAUUUACUUUCGUAACAUCAUUAUUGUGCAUUCUACCCCAUAAAAUUGAUGUGGGGUUAGUUAUGAGAUCAGGUGAAUAUUGCGGAUGUGGCAAUAAAAAGUAAAGUAAUUUGGGUGCUUUUUCUGCUAAAAUAGCAUAUGAACGCGCAAGCACAAUGAUGUGAAUGAUUGUGAAUCCCAAAAUAUCUUACCAAUCAUCUUGAUGACUGAAAAAUGGUUCUGGCUUUUUUGGGAACACUUGAAAUGUCGACAGAUUAUAUCAGAAAUAUGGAGAAAACUGAUAAUAUAAUCACUGCAGCAUUGUUAAAAUCUAAAUAGUCACUUUUUCAUCAAAUCAUCCUACUAAUAAGAGAUAUAUAGUCCCAAAAAGAAUACACCAGUACACCAAGAAAUUAGUGAAUAUUCAAUCUUGAAACUCUUUGAUAACAUUUUGCAACAUAUUUGCUUGUAAUUUAACGAAUUCCUUUCCCUAUUCAUUGUUUCCAAUCACAAGUCACAGUCAGUUUACUCUUCAAGUUUUCUGAUUUCAGAUAACCACAAACAGAUAAUUCAGUGAAAUCAGAUCACAUGGGUGGAUAUGAAUUCUUUGAUAACAUUUUGCAACUUAUUUGUUUGUAAUUUAAUGAUUUUUCUUGCCAUAUUCAGUAUGUUCAAUAACAAAUUUAAAUCGAUUCACUUCUAAGAUUUCUUAUUUUAAAUAACAAAAAAAGAAUUCAGUAGAAUCAGAUUGCAAUAAAUGGGUGGCUAUUCAAUCUUUGAAUUCUUAAAUAACGUUUUGCAACAUAUUUGCUUUUAAUUCAAUUAAUUUCUUUCCUUAUUUGGUGUUUUCAAUCAUCAAUUUAAGUCGGUUCACUGUUGUAGAUAUCUGAUAACAAAUAGCCAUAAAAAGAAUGGCCCAAUGGGAUCAGAUUGCAAUAAAUGGGUGGAUACUCAAUCUUGGAAUUCUUUGGUAAAAUUUUGCAACAUAUUUGCUUGUAUUUUAAUUUUUUGCCUAUGUUGCGUUUUCAAUCACAAUUUAAGACUUAUCAUUCUUGUAGAUAUCUGAUUUCAAAUAACUCCAAAAAUAUUAAUCCAGAGAAGUCAGAUCACAAGAAAAGGGUGGCUAUUCAAUCUCUUCGCAUCUACUAAACAAUUAGGAAAAUCAUUAUUGUGAUUAGGUUGUAUUUUUGUUGCAUUAUGUAACCAUAUGUUUCUAUUAUAAUAUAUAUUAAUAAAAACGUUAAUAAUAAUUAAAAAAA